ensembl:lncRNA
UGUGGAGGGACAAGUUCUGCAGCUCUCUUGACAUGGCCUCAGAGCACCAGGAUAAAAGUGAAAACAUUCAUCUGUGGUUCCUUCAGGACACAAAUACAAGGUGUUAUCAGGACGAAUCAUUGUGCUUUCUGCAAGCAGACAAUUAAGGAAGCCUACAUGCCUCUUUCAGGCUAAGUAUUCCUUUUUUUUUUUUUUUUUUUUCCUUUUCUGAUGCUGUCCCUAAUGUGAAUGUGGGUAUGUUGGAUGCUUUCCUAUAGGAGCAGUAUUUUCCUUUUCCUGUUUGGGAAUAAACCAGAACAACUUAAGUCUGUAAACUGGCAAAACUGCAUUCAUGUGAAUGGAGCUACAGCACUUACAGGAUUGCAGUGCAGCUGUUGUCUUGCUUCCAAAUUUCUUAGGCUGCUGAAAAUGGAUGCUCUGAACUUUCAGAGACUGACAAGGUGCUGUAAUCAUACAAUCUUAAUUCUCCUUGGUUGUGUGAUACAAUGUGCAGUAAUGUUAAAACUAGACUAAUAAUCUAAGCUGUUUUUCAGUAUUUAAAUACAUGAAACAGAGAGAACACAGCUAAGAUCAUGCCACUAACCUUGCCUCUUUUCCCUUAUUUCUUUUUUGACAUGUAAAUGGACACAGAAAUAUUUGAAAACUUAGGCAGAAACAUACUUACUUUCACAUUUGCAGACAUGAAAAGGUUUCAGCUCAUAAGUUUCCAUAGGUUUAUUUUGAAAUCUUUAUUCCUUACAAUAAGCACCAAUUAGAAAUUGAAUGUGAAGAAUAGAUAAGAUUAUAUUUUCCACAUAGAUAUUAUGAUAAUAUUAUGAUUAAUAUGAAAAGUAUGUGUGACAGAAAAGGAUUACAGACCAAUAGCACCACUUCCCCUGUAAUCUUUAUCCCUUUCCUGACUAAGUGCUAUCUGCCAAUACAAAUCCCCAAGUUCCUGACCUCUCUUCUUUUUUUUUUUUUCUUGCUUUCCGUCCCUGCAAGCGCUGUGGAGGAAAUGAUUCCUGUCACGUAGCCAAGGGGGGCAUAUUUACAUGGUUCCACAUGAUGUGACAAGGAAAUCCUGUUGCAGAGGAUUCGUGAGGAAAGCAAGGAGGUUGCCUUCUCUGUCACUCUUUUUUAGAGCUCCUGCCUCCGCUCCUCAACAGGUUAACUUCCUGAAUCACCACUUCUGGGACAUUAUCAGAACAGAUCUCUUUGUUUCUUAAUUUUCUUCCUUCAGUUUUGAAAGUGGACAUUUCCAGGACAUUCUCCUUCCUGCUCUUUUGCCAUUUAUUAAGUGAUUAUGUUGUUGUCUGCUAUGGAUUUUUUUCUUUGCAGAUUUUACUUGUAGUACUCAUAUUUUUUUGCUCC